GGGUGUGGCCUGUAAUAUGAGCAAAAAAUUAAACUGUAGGCUUUACCCCUCAUACUGACCAACAUUUGUUCAGCGACUUUUAAAAAUAACUUGUGGUUUGAUUUUUAAUACACUUUAAAGUUUAUUCUAAGACGCAAUGUAUUGCGAAUUUUGUUAUGUUUAAGGCAGUCUAAAUACUUCAUAAUUUUUAAAAGUUGUAGAACAAAAGUGUCACCGUUUGAGGAGUACAAUCUAUGUUUUAAUUAUUUGCUCAUGUUACAGGCCACACCCGGCAGUGUUGGGCAAAAAGUAAUUGAAUUACUAAUUAACAAUUGCAAUUACAAAAUGUAAUUGCAACAAAUAAUUUCCAUUACAUGUGGAAAGUAAUUAAAAUUUUAA